ncrna:unclassified sequences skipping-rope RNA
AUUGCUUGAGGUGGUAAAAUUCGUUGCAACCAUGCGCCCUUUGGGCUAAAAGAGAUGUAGGAGAGGCGACGCCUACCAAGCAAU